rnacentral:rRNA from 1 species
AGCACAAGGUAGCUUGCUAUCUGGGUGGCGACUGGCGCACGGGUGCGUAACGCGUAUGCAACUUGCCCUAUACAGGAGGAUAACCCGUCGAAAGACGGACUAAUACUGCGUAUGCUCACAACUUGGCAUCAAGAAGUGAGGAAAGAAAUUCGGUAUAGGAUAGGCAUGCGUCCCAUUAGCUUGUUGGUGAGGUAACGGCUCACCAAGGCCACGAUGGGUAGGGGAACUGAGAGGUUUAUCCCCCACACUGGUACUGAGACACGGACCAGACUCCUACGGGAGGCAGCAGUGAGGAAUAUUGGUCAAUGGGCGGGAGCCUGAACCAGCCAAGUCGCGUGAAGGAUGACUGUCUUAUGGAUUGUAAACUUCUUUUAUACGGGAAUAACCAGAGUCACGUGUGACUCCCUGCAUGUACCGUAUGAAUAAGCAUCGGCUAACUCCGUGCCAGCAGCCGCGGUAAUACGGAGGAUGCGAGCGUUAUCCGGAUUUAUUGGGUUUAAAGGGUGCGUAGGCGGUUUGUUAAGUCAGCGGUGAAAUCUAGAGGCUCAACCUCGAAACUGCCGUUGAAACUGGCGAACUUGAGUGUAGAUGAGGUAGGCGGAAUUCGUGGUGUAGCGGUGAAAUGCAUAGAUAUCACGAGGAACUCCGAUUGCGAAGGCAGCUUACUAAGGUACAACUGACGCUGAAGCACGAAAGCGUGGGUAUCAAACAGGAUUAGAUACCCUGGUAGUCCACGCAGUAAACGAUGAUAACCUGGGCGUAUGCGAUAUACAGUAUG